UGGGGAAUAUUGCACAAUGGAGGGAACUCUGAUGCAGCGACGCCGCGUGAGUGAUGAAGGAAUUCGUUUCGUAAAACUCUGUUCUAUGGGAAGAAAAGGACUGUACCAUAGGAGAAAGCUCCGGCUAAAUACGUGCCAGCAGCCGCGGUAAUACGUAUGGAGCGAGCGUUGUCCGGAAUUAUUGGGCGUAAAGGGUGCGCAGGCGGCUUUACAAGUUGGAUGUGAAAUAUUGUGGCUCAACCACAAACGUGCAUCCAAAACUGCAAAGCUUGAGUUAAGGAGAGGUAAGUGGAAUUCCUAGUGUAGCGGUGAAAUGCGCAGAUAUUAGGAGGAAUACCGGUGGCGAAGGCGACUUUCUGGCCAUAACCUGACGCUGAGGUACGAAAGCGUGGGUAGCAAACAGG
rnacentral:rRNA from 1 species